AUUGAACGCUGGCGGCAUGCCUUACACAUGCAAGUCGAACGGUAACAGGUCUUCGGAUGCUGACGAGUGGCGAACGGGUGAGUAAUACAUCGGAACGUGCCCGAUCGUGGGGGAUAACGAAGCGAAAGCUUUGCUAAUACCGCAUACGAUCUACGGAUGAAAGCAGGGGACCGCAAGGCCUUGCGCGAACGGAGCGGCCGAUGGCAGAUUAGGUAGUUGGUGGGAUAAAAGCUUACCAAGCCGACGAUCUGUAGCUGGUCUGAGAGGACGACCAGCCACACUGGGACUGAGACACGGCCCAGACUCCUACGGGAGGCAGCAGUGGGGAAUUUUGGACAAUGGGCGAAAGCCUGAUCCAGCCAUGCCGCGUGCAGGAUGAAGGCCUUCGGGUUGUAAACUGCUUUUGUUCGGAACGAAAAGACUCUGGUUAAUACCUGGGGUCCAUGACGGUACCGUAAGAAUAAGCACCGGCUAACUACGUG
rnacentral:rRNA from 1 species